rnacentral:rRNA from 1 species
UACGGAGGGUGCGAGCGUUGUCCGGAAUCAUUGGGCGUAAAGGGCGCGUAGGUGGCGGGACAAGCGUGCGGUGAAAGCUUGGGGCUCAACCCCGAGUCGGCCGUGCGAACUGUCUUGCUUGAGCACUGUAGAGGCAGGCGGAAUUCCGGGUGUAGCGGUGGAAUGCGUAGAGAUCGGGAGGAACACCAGUGGCGAAAGCGGCUCUCUGGUCCAAAACUGACGCUGAGGGGCGAAAGCGUGGGGAGCGAACGGG